rnacentral:misc_RNA from 1 species
ACCAGUUUUCGGUGUCACUUAGUGUGGAUAUGACGCAGGAAUCGGGAACGGUUCGUAUUAUCCUUUCGCGUCAUAUCGAAUCGGAUCGCAGUCACUAUUUGCUAGUUGUCGUCUGAAUCGAGGCUUAUAUAUAAAUAGUGGCACAACUAAAAUGUGAAGAUUAUUUGUGUAUGGUGGUCUCGACGACAAGCAAUCCCAAGGCCUUGCCCGAUAGCCAAGACCGUACGAGCAAGGACUCUUCCUACGCGGGCCUUUGAUUCCUUUGCGGUGUACUAGGAGAUUUGUUUGUAUCAUUGUUUAUUUACGCGGCUAUGAUAUUGUCGCGCGUCGUUACGUUAAUUUAAUUGUCCUUGCGGUAGGUGAGGUCCGAAUUGAAUUCAACGACAAACAGGUGCGACGAAAUCUGCUCGAAGCGAUUCAUUUUCAAAGUUCGGAGGAGCGUGUGAUGCUGUGAGAGUGCGAGGCUUUGAAGGCAACGUGUUUGUUAUCGUACGCAAGGAAAGAGUGCCAAUUAAUAAUUCUCCAUCAAAAGGGAAAUGUAUACAUGAGGCGGGUUGAAUAAAGGCAAUAUUACAUUUAUGUAAGCCAAGCGAAGCGUGAAAGUGCAGAGUGGGAAGGUGUUUCGUUCGUUUCCUUUAUUAUUCACAAAGAAGUAAUUUUCAACAGCAAGGACGACAGCAAAGGGGACGAUAUAACAACAACGAUAUCCUUUCCCUGAUUGAGCUCCGAACCUUGGCUGCCGACCUUCGCCAAGCAUUUAUACGUAGGACAUUUAGAGUCGAACGUGGGAAAACAAAAGUAUUCCAGGAAACAUGUGGAAGUUGUUGCUUUUGUUUGGAUUAUGGACUUCAAUUGUAGUGAGAGAUUUCUCAAUUGCUGUAAUGAUAACAAAUCUCAAAGUUCCAACCACCUACACAUUAGAGGAUAUUAAAAACCCAGAUCCGUUGAUACUAGAUUGUGAAUACGAAGUGGAUUCGACAGAAACUGGAUUUGUUUUGAAAUGGUUGCUGAAUGGUGUUCAGAUUUAUCAAUGGAUACCAGAGCAUAAACCCUUUCCUUUGGGCUCAAUGAAAUCGCGAAUCGAUACGUCGUUCUCGUUAUCCACCGACUUUCACCACCGCCAUCGAGCCAUAUCCAUUAUUAAGCCAGAAUGGAAUAUGACCGGAGAAUACACAUGUUCCGUACAAACGUUUCAAUCGUCGGAUCGAAAAUCAUCAUAUUUACAGAUAAUUGUGCCGGAAACGGAUUUUCAACUGACGGCUAAAGUCGAUUUCGCAGCAAACGACGUAAUUAUCGUUUGUAGCGUGCAGAAUGUGUUCCCGGAGCCAGUGCUGACAAUAUUGUUCAACAACGAUCAACCAGUCCAUGCCAUCAAGAAUUUGAAGAAAAUGCCGAAUCAUUUGUACAGCGGGAAUGUGACGGUGGAGCUGCCUCGGUCGCAGAUAGAGUCGCCAACACCAAUAAAUUGUGUCCUAACACUGCCCGGGUCGAAUUACACCAAGCGGAGGGAGACCAUCUUCUACGAUAAAUUCCUUCACGUCUAGAUCAAGGACUCACAACCACGGUGGAGCCUUGUGAAGAGGAAAUUUCGAGUGCUAUAUCCCGGCUCGAAGGAGACGGCCUGAGAGGUCAUGCAAAUAUUAUACUAUCAACGAU